rnacentral:rRNA from 1 species
UACGUAGGGUGCAAGCGUUAAUCGGAAUUACUGGGCGUAAAGCGUGCGCAGGCGGUUGUGCAAGACAGAUGUGAAAUCCCCGGGCUUAACCUGGGAAUUGCAUUUGUGACUGCACGGCUAGAGUGUGUCAGAGGGGGGUAGAAUUCCACGUGUAGCAGUGAAGUGCGUAGAUAUGUGGAGGAAUACCGAUGGCGAAGGCAGCCCCCUGGGAUAACACUGACGCUCAUGCACGAAAGCGUGGGGAGCAAACAGG